UAUUAGUCACCUUCCAUCAAACUAGACGGCUGCCGACUGAUACCUCAAUCAACAACCGCCGCACUCUUUAUUCAUUCCAGGUAUAUACAAUUUACAAUCUUCUUCAAUAACAAUAUACCUACGCCAGCAAAUCUACCUCGCUCCAACUCUCCAAACUCGUACCUGACGAUACCUGAGCGUUCAACUCUACCUAUCUUCCAGCAGUCUUUACCCAGCAUUCUAUGAUUUAUACCCGUGAGCUGUAUAAUAAUGUCUGACUCGGUUCUGAAUUCAUCCAGUAUCUACUAGGGAAAACCAAACAGUAAAUGCAGAAAGGUUGCUAGAAGCAUAGUGAUUUCAUAGUAAUUUCAGCUAAUAAUCCAGUGUUUUUGAACUAGAUCCAGUGUUGUUUGAUAACAUAAUAAUUGUAAAGGAAAGUGUAACACGUUUUGGUGCAAAGAUUACAAAAUGAGUAAAAUCAGAUGUAUUCGUCCAUUCAAAGACAUUCAGUGUUCGAAAGAGCUGCGAUAUCUCACGGAUGGUAUCAUCCAAAAACUGAAGUCAAUUGGAUUUUCCAAGGUAUCCACACUGAACACCAAGGAUUUUCGUAUUUGUUCGUCUUGCCGUCUACAUAUUGAUUCAAGAGCUCACCUCACCCAAAACGAAGAACAAAGCGUAGCCGGUGGCUCAAGGAUGCCAACUGUUCAGACCAUACCUGUUGUACCUGAUUCGCAAAGCUAUGAAAGUUUGGUCACGAUACCAUCAGCGUCAACGCUAAGCACAAUUCAAUCAAAUGAAGACUUCACGAUGCCUGUAGACGUCGAAAUAUUCAACCGAGGAAUAGCAGCUAUUCGUGUUUCGCCUAUAGAUUUAGGUAA